AUUGAACGCUGGCGGCAUGCCUUACACAUGCAAGUCGAACGGCAGCACGGGUGCUUGCACCUGGUGGCGAGUGGCGAACGGGUGAGUAAUACAUCGGAACGUACCUUAUCGUGGGGGAUAACGCAGCGAAAGCUGUGCUAAUACCGCAUACGCCCUGAGGGGGAAAGCGGGGGAUCGAAAGACCUCGCGCGAUUAGAGCGGCCGAUGCCUGAUUAGCUUGUUGGUGGAGUAAAAGCCCACCAAGGCGACGAUCAGUAGCUGGUCUGAGAGGACGAUCAGCCACACUGGGACUGAGACACGGCCCAGACUCCUACGGGAGGCAGCAGUGGGGAAUUUUGGACAAUGGGGGCAACCCUGAUCCACCAAUGCCGCGUGAGUGAAGAAGGCCUUCGGGUUGCAAAGCUCUUUUGUCAGGGAAGAAACACCGGCUCUAACACAGUCCGGGAAUGACGGUACCUGAAGAAUAAGCACCGGCUAACUACGAGCCAGCCGCCGCUGUAA
rnacentral:rRNA from 1 species